UACGAAGGGGGCUAGCGUUGCUCGGAAUGACUGGGCGUAAAGGGCGCGUAGGCGGUUUGUACAGUCAGAUGUGAAAUUCCUGGGCUCAACCUGGGGGCUGCAUUUGAUACGUAUGGACUGGAGUGAGGAAGAGGGUCGUGGAAUUCCCAGUGUAGAGGUGAAAUUCGUAGAUAUUGGGAAGAACACCGGUGGCGAAGGCGGCCAUCUGGACAGAUACUGACGCUGAGACGCGAAAGCGUGGGGAGCAAACAGG
rnacentral:rRNA from 1 species